GGGAGGUGCCUGUCAGGGAGGAAAAAUAAACGCAGCGAGCAGAGCUCCACACCCUAAAGGGAAGGAGAAGUUUCCCUGCAUUCCUGUCCUGCAACUCAACUCUGAAUCAACCAUCUGCAAGGACAGAUCCGUAGUGUGUAAGUGUGUGUGUGUGUUUAGGUCUGUGUUCAGGACCCCUGACCAGGCCCCAUCUUUAUUUCAGGACAACUGUGUGUAUAUGUUGGUGUGUGUGUUGUCUGUGCGAUUGUGUGUGUUCAAACAUCACACUGGAGGGGGUGUGGGCCAGCUAUCCACAUACGCCUAUUGACCUAUACCUCAGCGCCCUGUCAGGGAUACGAUGACAUCACUAGGUGAUAAAGGUGAAGGCCACAGGGAGACAACGGCAUUGCUGGGUAAUGAAGAUGAAGGCUCCGUCCAAACACAGACGAAGGUCCUGAACCAGGGCUCCUGGACGCAGGUCAGCUGUCCCUGCUGUGUGUCUGAGCAGGUGGAGCCCCUGGUCCUCAUCCAGCUGUCAGACAACAUCCAGCCCGUCACCAAGAGGUGGCUCAUCUCCCUGAUCGAGGUGUCCGAGAGAGACGGAGGCGCAGCGUUGCUGGCCCACCCUGGAGAGGAUGAGUGUGGGGAUGUGAUUGUGGUAUCUGCUCCUCGCUGCACCCUCCUCAGAGCCACAGAGGACCUGGGUCUGUGUAAGAAAUACCACAAUGGAGACAUGGUUGCUUUCUCCUACAAUGACAGAGACAACUUCAGCGAUGUUGAUGACAUGCAGGAGUUCCUGACGCUAGCGGAGCGUCAGUACAUAGUCAAGUAUGAGCUGGACUUUCUAAGGGCCCAGAAGGGGCAGAAAAUCCCUGGAGUCCCUGAGUCUCAGGGGGUCCUGAAGGCCAGGGAGAACAUAUGUCAGAAGCUAGAGAAGGCGGGAGUGAUAAAGGACAUCUUCCCUCUGCAUGACAAGCAGAGACUGACAGACCUGUGCAGAAACUGGUACUCUGGGAAGCAGAUAUGGGGACAGCCUCUUGACUCUAUCCAAGCCUACUUCGGAGGCACCAUGGGGUUUUACUUCAGCUUUCUGGACUUCUACACCUGGGCCCUGGUGCCCCCUGCUAUCCUAGGCCUGGUGCUGUCCUUUCUGUUGCCUGGAGGUGGAUCAGGAGCUGGGGUUGUGAAGGAGCACGUUGGGGAGGGGGUGGUUGAGGGGGUGGUAGAGGUGGACGACAGCCCCUCGGUCAGCGGUCACAUGGUACAGGCCGUGUUCAGCAUGUUGUGGUCCACGCUGGUCUUGGAGUUCUGGAAGCGACGCAGCUCCUCCCUCUCCCACCGCUGGGGCUUGCUGCACCUGGCCGAGCGCUUCGCUGAGCCCCGCCCUGGUUUCCACGGCACCCUGGGGAUCAACCCUGUGACCGGGCGGCUGGAGCCCCUGUUCCCGGAGUGGCAGAGGCAGCUGCGUGUAGGCCUGGUGUCUGUGCCCCUGGUGGGGUUCUUCCUGGGGAUGGUGGUGCUGGGUAUGACAGGGUUCUACCACGGAGAGGCACUGGCACAGGGCUUCCAUCAGGACAGCGGCUCCCUGUUCUCUGGAGCUCUGCUCUACCUGCCCUCUGUGGCUCACAUCGUCUACACCAACAUGCUGGGGAAUGUGUACCGCACUGUGGCCAUGCAACUCACUGAGUGGGAAAACCACAGAGAGGAGUCCUCCUUCCAGAACCAUCAUACCACCAAAGUCCUCCUGUUCACUUUCUUCAACUAUUUUGCUGUGCUAUUUCACAUUGCCUUCUACAAACAAGACCUUCCACUUCUAAGGAAGAGGCUUGCGUCUCUGCUAAUCGUGACCCAACUGGUGAACCAGUGUACAGAGGUGGUGGUGCCGUUCAUAGUGGACCGCUUCUUCAGUGGUCCUCAGAAGAAGCAGCAGGAGGAUGACCCAGAUGUGGACAAACUCAGAGCCCAGAGAAGCCUGCCCCCUUUUCCAGGCCUAUUUGCUGAGUACAUUGAGUUGCUGGUGCAGUUUGGGUAUUUGAGUCUGUUCUCCUGUGUGUACCCGCUCACCGCCGUCCUCCUGCUCCUCAACAACGUCACAGAGAUCAGAGCAGACGCAUACAAGAUCUGUAAACUGUUCCGUAAACCCUUCUCAGCCCCUGUGUCCAACAUAGGAGUGUGGCAGGUCAGACAGCGUUUGAGGUUCUGGGGUUUGUUUCAGUCAUGUCUAACUGCUGGCUGUUGCUACUGUCUCCUCGGGUCCGGGAGUUCUGUCUGGAGGGAGGGAUUAGCGGCAGAAACAUCAUACUCUUCGCCAUCCUGGUCGAGCAUGUCCUGAUCCUGGUCAAGAUGAUUCUUGCUUUUAUGAUCCCAGACGAACCAGACUGGGUCAGAAUCAAGAGGGAACAGAUUGAGUUUCACUCCAUGCAAGCUCUUGGGCAGCAGAAGCUAUAAAGGUUGUGGAACCCCCAGUGGUGGAAAAGUACUCAAUUGUCAUACUAGCGUAAAAGUAAAGAUACCUUAACAGAAAAUGGCUCAAGUAAAAGUGAAAGUUACCCAGUAAAAUACUACUUGAGUAAAAGUCUAAAAGUAACUGGUUUUAAAUGUACUUAAUUACAGUGGUGGAAAAAGUACUACAUUGUCAUACUUGAGUAAAAGUACAAAGUAAAAGUAAAUGCUGUACAUCAAAUUCCUUAUAUUAAGCAAACUAGCCGGCACUAUUUUCGUAUUAUUUUGAAUUACGGACAGAAAGUGGCACACUCCAACACUCAGACAUAAUUUACAAACACAGUAGUUGUGUUUUGUGAGUCCGCCAGAUCAUAGGCAGUAGGGCUGACAAAGUGUUAUAUUGAUAGGUGCCAUGAUUCUGCUUGAGCAUUCUAAUUGUAACGAGUACUUUUGUGUGUCAGUACAUUAUUUUCUUUAGGAAUGUAGUGGAGUAAAAGUAGUCAAAAAUAUGAAUGGUGAAGUACAGAGACCCCAAAAAACUACUUAAGUAGUACUUAAAAGUAUGUUUACUUAAGUACUUUACACCACUGGGAACCCCUGAGGGGAAGUCCAUAAUCUCCUGUUGCCCUUCAAAUGUUGGUCUGGACCUGGGGGCUCAUUAGAAUCAGCUGCCAUGUCGAUGACGGAGAGGAGGAUCCAAAGAGAUGUCUGUCUGACCUCUAAACCUAAAUCCUGGAGCCAGCCAGAGUCUGCCCUGAGAAGUUCUGUCAGUCUCAGUAUCUCCCCCUGGAGGACCGCUCUAGUCAUAACUAGAGAAGUCUCUCAUGUCAUGGGAGAUAGCAGGAGAGUCAAACUAAUUUUGCCCCGGGGGCCAUUCGGUCUUCAACGAGGUCCGGAGAGCUGCACUGAAAAUGUGCUAUAUUUCCUCACUGUCAAAAAGUGCAAAAAAUACUUCUCCAUUGUUUUUGAAAAUGUUGAUACUCCUUGUCUGUUUAGCUUUCAUAUCGGUGAUUUUUAGGAAGCUGGACACACUCAAGAAACUGUAAGAAUGUAGGCCCAUUAGCAUUUCUACACAGUUUUAAUGUUGUUUUAGUCAUUUUAAAGUAUAAUGAGUUUGAUUCCCCCUAAAAAAUAUAUAAUAAUAUUUUUUUUAAUAAUAUAUAUACAGUACCAGUCAAAAGUUUGGACACAUCUAUAUAUUUUAACUUUUUUCUACAUUGUAGAAAAUAGUAAAAAUAAAGAAAAACCCUUGAAUGAGUAUGUGUGUC